rnacentral:lncRNA from 1 species
ACUGACCCUUUUCGGACUCAGCCUGCCUGCACCCAGGUGAAGUGAGCAACAGCCAUGUUGCUCACACAAAGCCUGUUUGGUGGUCUCUUCACAUGGACGCGCAUGAAAUUUGGUGCCGUGACUCGGAUCGGGGGACCUCCCUUGGGAGAUCAAUCCCCUGUCCUCCUGCUCUUUGCUCCGUGAGAAAGAUCCACCUACGACCUCAGGUCUUCAGACCGACCAGCCCAAGAAACAUCUCACCAAUUUCAAAUCCGAUCUUGGAGGGUGGAGCCAAGAUGGCCAAAUAGGAACAGCUCCAGUCUAGAGCUCCCAGCAUGAGCGACCCAGAAGAUGAGUGAUUUCUGCAUUUCCAACUGAGAGCCCAAGCUGAGAAUCUAUAAGAGCAGGAACAAAAUACUUUUCUUCCCGAGGUAAGUAUGGACAAAUUGCUCUCCAAGUGGUUAUAACAUUUUAUAUUCCAACCAGCAGUAUAUAAGCACUCCUCACUUUGUCCUUAAUCAUAUUGUUAACUACCCAAGGUCAGUUAAAUCAAUCCUGGGAAAUAACUUUUUAAAAUAAGAAAAUGCCGUUCUUUCAUCACUUUCUUUAGAAGAAAGUGAGCCCAUCCAUUACUUGUUCAUUUAUUUUCAAAUAAAAAAUGUAUUUCUCUUUUA